UGAGUGUUAUGAUGAUGGAAUCUAUUCAGAUUCUUAGUCUAGCUCUGGUCUACCGCCGAUUUAAUCGGCGG
rnacentral:ncRNA from 1 species